UUCAAGUCUCUUUUCCUGGUGACUUUUGCAAUAAUCACUCAGAUGCUAUCGAUUCAUUCAAUAUACUCACUACUCUAUCAAGGUGUUCUUCCCUCGCUGUUCUUUCCCUUUUCAAACAAUUGGAACAAUCACCCCAAUUCUAUCAUCGUGUUGUCCCAGACAUUCAUACUUGGUCUAUUCUCAUCCAAUGCCACUCUAGACAAGAAACCCAAAUAGCCGUCGAGUUGUUGAGACAUGCAUUGCAGAUUGACAAGGAACCAAAAGAUGGUGGUUUUAGUCUCACUUGCUGCUUUAACUCAAUCUUAUUCAGACUCUGCAAAGAUAGACUUUUAAGCAAAGCCUAUGUUCUGAAAUGAUUCAUGUCAACAACAUCAAGCCUGAUGGUACCACAUAUGUAAAUCUAAUCUAUGGUCAUUGCAUAUUCAGUCAAUUUAAACAAGCACUUGCCUUGUUUAGACAAGCGGAGACAUCAACAUACUUGUAUCCAACUCCUCACACUUUAGUUACGGAACAAGAGGUGAAAUCUGCUAAAAGUGCAGCAGCUCUGAUGAUAAAAGGUGGUGUCAAACCUAAUGCUGCUAGUUAUCACUCUGUUAUUGGUAGAUUAUACAAAGGAGGAUCAACAAGUGUUGUUAUGAAUAAGAUUGCACUAAAGGUGGAAGAGUUGGUACUUGCUGAACAUUAUCAUUUGAUAUGAAUAAAUAUGAUUAAGCUAGGAUGGUGCAAGAUAACUUAUUUGUGGAAUGUAGAUUACAUGCUUUCUAGUUUUCUAAUUUGAAGGAACAUGCUUUUAUUUUCUAAAUUUAAUAAUGUCUGGAUUUGAGCAAUACAUGUCCUUUAAACAGAUAGGUAUCCAUGUUUCUUGUUUCAUGCUCUUUGAUUAUGUAUAAAUACGCCUAUGAUUGUCUUGGCUUGUGACAUUUUCUUGAAAGCCUUAAUCAAUUUUCUCUCACAA